UCUUUCCUCUUUUUUUUUAUUUUUUUAUUUUUUUCGUUGCGGAAUCAAGUUCAGUUUGUUCAGGCCACUUUUCUUUUCCUUCGGUUCUCUCUCGAUUCGAAAGUUUCACACAAGUUUUCAUCGUAGAAAGGUCCGGGGAGUGUGCGCGGUAUAAAAAUCGGAAGAGCACAC